rnacentral:rRNA from 1 species
NCCUGCCCACUGAUUAAUUUAAUGWCCGCAGUAAUUUGACUGUGCAAAGGUAGCAUAAUCAUUAGUUUUUUAAUUGAAAGCUUGUAUGAAUGGUUGGACGAGAUAAAAUCUGUCUCUAUUUAAAUUAUUUUAGAAUUUUAUUUUUAAGUUAAAAAGCUUAAAURUAUAUAAAAGACGRGAAGACCCUAUAGAUCUUUAUAUUUUUUUAUAUAAUUUUAUUAAAGAAUUUUUUAAUUUUUAUAUAUAUAAAUAUUUUAUUGGGGUAAUAAAAAGAUUUAUUAAAUUCUUUUUUUUAUUUGAYAUAGAUUAAUAGAUAUUUGAUCCAAUAUAUUUUGAUUAUAAGAUUAAGUUACCUUAGGGAUAACAGCGUAAUUUUUUUUGAGAGUUCAUAUCGAUAAAAAAGUUUGCGACCUCGAUGGUGGAUUAAAAAUUAUUUUAGGUGUAGAAGUCUAAAAAUUUGGUCUGUUCGACCAUUAAAUUUU